GACCAGCAUCUCUGAGCCUCAGAAUCCCAUCUGUUGGGCAAGAAAACAUUCGCCUCAUAGGAUUGCUACUGACAGUCAAGGAGGUAGUAUUGAAGCACCUCCGAGGGCCUGGCACCUGGGAGUGGGUCCGCGUGUGCCCCUCCCACUUCUUCAUUAGGAGCAGGAGCUGCUGGAAUUCCAUUCCUCUCCUGAGUAGUCACGGCCUGACCUGACCUCGGGAGGCAGCAGCAACAAGACGGGAAGGGAGGAAAGAGCAAGCGAUGUUCUCACCAGACCCCCAGCCCAGCAACACAAGCGCUGCGUGUAAGGUUAGCUGAGAAAAAGGGGAGUAGACCCUAAGUCAGGCAAGCAGGUUUUAUUAACCUGCUGGGCUGCCCCGUAACAGUCAUAGGAGGCAGCCCCAAGCUUAUGGAAUGAGGGGUGUAUGUGCAGUGAGGCGGCAUAAGGGAGUUUCAGGACUGAGAUAGUCUGUCAGCUUGUAACAGGCAGAGAUAGUUUGUAUCUUGCAACAGAUUUACAAUACAUCAUCCUGUGACUUUUGUGGCGGCAGUUUUGAAAAAACAGGAUUUUACAGGUAUGUGUAAAACAGGAAUUUACAAGUAUGGAUAACAAGCACUAGUUUUCCCUGUCCUCCCCCAACUGCCCAGGUGGCUGUAAUCAGGCUUUGCUUCAUUGUAGCACCUAGAGAGGAGUCAGGAAGGGAAAGCCGCUGCAGAGCA